ensembl:lncRNA
GCAUUACGCAGGUGGCGUACGCUCUUCUGUGUCAGCUGCGACAAAGGAUGCGGUGUUUUCUUCAAAUCAAAGUGUAAAUAUACAUAUGUAGAAAACGUAUCCUUGUGGCGCGGCUGACACAGAAACACUGAUGGCAGAUGGACUAUUCUGACGAUGCUUUCCAUACUUUUCUGGACCUUGACAGUGCAUUUUAAUAUUUCCAAAAUAUCUUAAAUUGUGUUCUGAAGACAAACUAAGCUUUUACGGGUUUGGAACGACAUGGGGGUAAGUGAUUAAUGACAAAAUUUUCAUUUUGGGGUGGAGUAUCCCUUUAAGGGUGGGGUGGAAUAUGCUACAUGACUUUUAAAAUCGGAUUUUAAAACACUAGGCAUUAUAUACUUGCAACUUCGUAAGUGGUAACAGAUUAAAUGGCCGUUCACAUGUUGUGUCUUUUGCACGCUCAAGUUCCUUAUUUCAGAUGUAGAAACACUCAUGGCACUCAUGAGCUGUGACACGCGCUUCACAAGACAUGUGAACGGCUCUUAAUGGUACAUUUGCACGACAACGAUGCACUUAAACUUGUGUUUUUGAAAAAUUUCAUUUACAGAUGACAACACUGUCAAAACAAUCACUGUUCACGCGGAUCUGCGAAAACAACUAACAAAGCUGUAUUGUGCAUGCCAGGCCAGUAGAUGUCAGUAUGCAAGUAUAUACUGUACAGUAUGCUUUUUGUUCUCCUAAGAGCAUUGAACCGUUUGAGUCCAGCUGAGCCCUCAGUGUUUUAAUCCAGAAACUCGAAGGAGACCCUCUGUGCCGCUGAACCACAUCUAAACACUCCUGUGCAAUGUUUUGACUUCCUGUUCUGAAUUUCAGUUUUUUUAUGCAUCUUUUUUUCUUUUUUUUAUGAGCGUGAAUGUAAUUUUUUAUUUUAAAGAGUCAUCAGAUUUUCACCUUUCAGUAUUGCAAGAACUCUAAAUAGAGAUGCAAUAGUAGAGAUGCAGAUAAAUAACUAACCUAUAUUAAACUUAAAAUGAU